rnacentral:lncRNA from 1 species
CUCUGCAAAAUGCAACUACAAUGUUAAGAUUAAAGAUAAAAUAAACAUGCAAAUUCAACAUAAAAGAACAUUCACAAGUGAAGUUUUCUCCCCAAGACUCAAAUAAGGCAACAUAAGUUUAAAUAAACAUAUGAAAUGAAGAAAACUAGGAUCUUAAUCUCUUAAGAAGACUCAGCUUCCUAAAUGACUUAACUAGUCCUAAUUAAUCAUACACAUUACAGCCGGCAAAAUGUCCUGUAUCAUUCCAGUAUAUUAGACAAUAGAAGCAAUUGGAAGCUGAAAUAUGCCGUACCAAAUCAAAAGCACUCUACUGCUGCUGGUUCUGCUGCUGGUUUUGAGGGUUUGGAGGAGGUGGCAUCCCAGGACGUGGUGGACCGAAAACAGGAACAGCACCAGGGGGAGGCGGCAUUCCAGGGCGUGGGGGUGGUGGAGCAGGCAUUCCAGGGCGUGGUGGUGGUGGACCAGGAGGUCCUCUCAUCAUUGAUCCCGGAGGUGGAACCAUUGGCCUCUGACCAUAUUGUGGUGGUGGGACAGGGAAUUGUUGAGGUGGCCUUACUCCAAAAGCAGGUGGUGGUACCUGUGGAGGAGGACCACGUUGCAUCUGAGGAGCCUGUGGUUGACCAGGGUAACCACCAGGUGGCAUUUGUCCAGGUGGACGGAUAACAGGAGGUGCUCCACUAGCAGCAGGGUAAGUCAUAGGCGGAGCUGACAGUUGCGGAACCGGCGGCCGUGAAAUCUGGGGCUGCAUCAUCCCAGGAGCCG